UCGGCGUGUCACUAUCCAGGUGCCUGAUGCAGGGUGGAGACGUGGAUCAUGACGUUAAUGGCGGAGGGGGUAAAGCCCCACAGCACAGAAAUUUCAAGGUGCACAGAAGGAGCAGCAACAGAGGAACUUCAAUUUGAUAAAGGAAUGCACCAGGACAGCAAUUUGGAAGCUGAUCAAAAUGUAUUAAUCUCACAUGCUGGAAAAGACUGCCCUAACAAAGUGGAUGCAGAAAUCUCAAAGUCAGAGUCAGAAACUUGAAAACAGGACAUGCUUUUAAUCAGGAUGGGCUGUCUCAGCAACUUGGAAGCAGGAGGGGAUAAUCGCUUAGUCAGAAAGGAAGGGAACAGCAACUUGGAAGCAGGACAGGACCUGGCAAACACUCUGUUAUCAUCUGUAGACAUUGGUCCAGAUUCAUUAAAAUUCAUAUAUGAAGCUAAAAUCCUUCAGAAAAACAUGGGUGCAGUAUCGCACCUGGAAAAUUGCAAAAUGUAAAGAUAUUUGUACCUGCCCCUUGUCGCAUCCAUGAGUUGUGAGUGACUCUUCAUUAUAAUUAAUGAAACAUCAUGUAUCUUAACAGUUAAUAGAACAAGCUCCACUGUGAAGGACAGCGACAUCACAAAAACAUGUUCAAAACAGCACAAAACAAACAAAUCAAAAUGGAAAAACCCUUGCUUGAUAAAACAGUUCACAGUAAAAUAUGCAAAAAUGGAAACUUAAAGCAAAAGAAAAACAAAUGACAAUUUUUACAGCUUUGUUUAUAGAGAAGAAAUAAUGGCACUACUCAGAAAUUAAUAAAGUAUACUGAACGUUCCCCUUUAACCCAAA